GGGGACGUGUGGUUCGACAGGGGAGUUUGUUUCAGAGUUGCAGGCCGAGGCGCCAUCGCCCUCGUAAAUCAGGUGGCAAAAAAGUAACUGGCGAACGCGAAUUCGCACUGGCAGCCUAACCUAGGCAGCCACGUCCAUCCUUGCCUCACCUCGACGGGCGGGAAUGGGCGCCGACAAGCCGAGGUGCUGCGGACCCCGACGCCGGUAAGGGACGCUUAAGAUAAAUCGGCUGGCGCUAUCGAAGUCGGUGGCUGGACGGCGAUAGAGCGAGACAAAUACAGCCAGCUAAGCCUGUAGAGACUCUGGAUGGGGCUCUUCUGGACGGGGAGUUCGACUCUCCCCCGUCUCCACCA
rnacentral:tmRNA from 1 species